UACGUAGGGUGCGAGCGUUGUCCGGAAUUAUUGGGCGUAAAGAGCUUGUAGGCGGUCUGUCGCGUCUGCUGUGAAAAUCCGGGGCUCAACCCCGGACUUGCAGUGGGUACGGGCAGACUAGAGUGUGGUAGGGGAGACUGGAAUUCCUGGUGUAGCGGUGAAAUGCGCAGAUAUCAGGAGGAACACCAGUGGCGAAGGCGGUGGUCUGGGCCGAUACUGACGCUGUAGAGCGAAAGCGUGGGGAGCGAACAGG
rnacentral:rRNA from 1 species